GAUGAACGCUGGCGGCGUGCCUAAUACAUGCAAGUCGAGCGAACGGACGAGAAGCUUGCUUCUCUGAUGUUAGCGGCGGACGGGUGAGUAACACGUGGAUACCCUACCUAUCAGACUGGGAUAACUUCGGGAAACCGGAGCUAAUACCGGAUAAUAUUUUGAACCGCAUGGUUCAAAAGUGAAAGACGGUCUUGCUGUCACUUAUAGCUGGAUCCGCGCUGCAUUAGCUAGUUGGUAAGGUAACGGCUUACCAAGGCAACGAUGCAUAGCCGACCUGAGAGGGUGAUCGGCCACACUGGAACUGAGACACGGUCCAGACUCCUACGGGAGGCAGCAGUAGGGAAUCUUCCGCAAUGGGCGAAAGCCUGACGGAGCAACGCCGCGUGAGUGAUGAAGGUCUUCGGAUCGUAAAACUCUGUUAUUAGGGAAGAACAUAUGUGUAAGUAACUGUGCACAUCGUGACGGUACCUAAUCAGAAAGCCACGGCUAACUACGUG
rnacentral:rRNA from 1 species